rnacentral:rRNA from 1 species
UUAAUUAUAUAAGUUUUAUGAUUAUUGGAAUUUAGUAGGCUUGUAAUCAGCCAUCAUUUAUUUCGUUAUAGAAUAUUUUCUGAUUGUAUUUAUUUAAUUUUCUUUAUUUUUUUACUUGAAUAAUCUAAUUAAUUAAUAUUUUUAUGUUAUAAUGAUUAAAUUAGUAUUUUAGUUAAUUAAAUUAUAGGAACUCGGCAAAUUUAGUGUUCGCCUGUUUAACAAAAACAUGUCCUUUUGUUUAUUUAUUUAAGGUCUGACCUGCCCAAUGAGGAAUUCAAUGGCCGCAGUAUUUUAACUGUGCUAAGGUAGCAUAAUCAUUUGUCUUUUAAUUGAGGGCUUGAAUGAAAGGUUGGACGAGAUAUAGACUUUCUUUAAUUUAAUUUUAAGAAUUUAAUUUUUGAGUUAAAAAGCUUAAAUUUGCUUGUUGGACGAGAAGACCCUAUAGAUCUUUAUAAUUUUAUAUUUUAAUAAUUUAGUGGUUAUGUUUAUUAUAAGUAAAAUAAUUAUUUGGUUGGGGUGACUGUAGAAUUUUAUUAACUUCUAUUGUUUAGAUUUCAUUAAUUGGUGUUUUUUUGAUCCAUAUUUUUAUGAUUAUAAGAUUAAGUUACCUUAGGGAUAACAGCGUAAUUUUUUCGGAGAGUUCAUAUUGAUGAAGAAGUUUGCGACCUCGAUGUUGGAUUAAAAUAAGUUAUAGAUGCAGAAGUC